rfam:Zootermopsis nevadensis contig26427, whole genome shotgun sequence.
UCAGUGCGGUUUGUCUUAGAAUUCCUAUGCUUUACCGAUUAAUUCAAUAGGCAAAGCGUUUGAAUUCUGAAACGAACUGUGU